AAUAAUGCAGCUGAUAACAUAACAUUUUUCCCCAUCAGAUUAACCCUGUUGAUCUAGCUGAAUCAUUAGCUAGUGUUUUAUCUGAUGCAUUGGA
ensembl:snoRNA